rnacentral:rRNA from 1 species
AUUGAACGCUGGCGGCAUGCCUAACACAUGCAAGUCGAACGGGGCAGCAAUGCCUAGUGGCGGACGGGUGAGUAACACGUGGGAACGUACCUUUUGGUUCGGAAUAACGCAGAGAAAUUUGCGCUAAUACCGAAUGAGCCCUUCGGGGGAAAGAUUUAUCGCCGAAAGAUCGGCCGGCGUUGGAUUAGGUAGUUGGUGUGGUAAAGGCGCACCAAGCCUACGAUCCAUAGCUGGUCUGAGAGGAUGAUCAGCCACACUGGGACUGAGACACGGCCCAGACUCCUACGGGAGGCAGCAGUGGGGAAUCUUGCGCAAUGGGCGAAAGCCUGACGCAGCCAUGCCGCGUGAAUGAUGAAGGUCUUAGGAUUGUAAAAUUCUUUUACCAGGGACGAUAAUGACGGUACCUGGAGAAAAAGCCCCGGCUAACUUCGUGCCAGCCGCCGCUGUAACAC